AUUUGCCUUCGGGUGGGGAAUAACUUGUGGAAACGCAAGCUAAUACCGCAUAAUGCAGCGGCAUCGAAAGAUGACAGUUGUUAAAGCUAUAUGCGCCUGAAGAGAAGCCUGCGGCAGAUUAGGUAGUUGGUAAGGUAAUGGCUUACCAAGCCUGCGAUCUGUAUCCGGUCUAAGAGGACGGUCGGACACACUGACACUGAACAUACGGGUCAGACUCCUACGGGAGGCAGCAGCCGGGAAUUUUGGGCAAUGGGCGAAAGCCUGACCCAGCAACGCCGCGUGAAGGAUGAAGUAUUUCGGUAUGUAAACUUCGGAAGAAUGGGAAGAAUAAAUGACGGUACCAUUUUUAAGCCCCGGCUAACUCCGUGCCAGCAGCCGCGGUAAUACGGAGGGGCAAGCGUUGUUCGGAUUUACUGGGCGUAAAGGGCGCGUAGGCGGCGCAACAAGUCACUUGUGAAAUCUCCGGGCUUAACUCGGAACUGCCAAGUGAUACUGUCGUGCUAGAGUGCARAAGGGGCAAUCGGAAUUCUUGGUGUAGCGGUGAAAUGCGUAGAUAUCAAGAGGAACACCAGAGGCGAAGGCGGAUUGCUGGGCUGACACUGACGCUGAGGCGCGAAAAGCUAGGGUAGCAAACGGGAUUAGAUACCCCCGGUAGUCCUAGCCUUAAACRAUGAAUGUUUGGUGUCUGGAGUUUGAGUCUCCGGGGUGCCG
rnacentral:rRNA from 1 species